rnacentral:rRNA from 1 species
AUGAAUAUAGAAUCAGUUGUCAUAGAGGAAGACAGCGAAGAAGAUGAAGCAAAAGCGGAAGAAAAUGAAGCAGAAGAAGUAGUCGUUCGUCCUAGGAGGAAGUUGACAUCUCCUGUUUGGAAGGAGUUUAAGAAAGUAAAAGUGAUGAACAGAAUGAAGGCCAAGUGUAACUGGUGCUCAAAGAAGCUUGGAGGGGAACCAAGAAAUGGAACGAAGCAUCUCCUUGACCAUUUAAAGAUUGUACAUGGAAAGAAGGUUUAG